GCCAGGUGCAAACAGCAGAACUAAUUACAAAUUAACAAAUACUAGGCAUGAUUAGAAUGAGAAUCAGAUGGGGGAAAGCUCUCCAACAUGUGAUAGGGAUAAGCUAAAUACUUGAGGCAGAGAAAACCUUUCCCUGUUUUCUCUGUGAUGGUUGUCACGGGUAUUAGGAAGAAAUGGAUAACAGAAAGAAUUUCUUCCUAGAAGGGUGUCAUUGGAACAGUCCAUUCAGGGAAGUGGUGGAGUCCUUGUCCCUGAAGGUACUUGAGAGACAUAGGAUGUGGCUGAGUGAUAAGGCUUAGUAGGUCAGGUAAGCAGUUGAAGAUUUUUUCCAACCCAAGAGACUCUAUGAUUCAGUCAGUUUUCUUUCUGGUGAUACUUCCAUCUGUGGAUGGAGACAGAGCAGCAUGGAGCCUCUGGCUUCAGACUCUCCUUUUGCAUCUCUGGAAAACAGAAGAGAGCCUUCCUUUUUCCCUUUGCUCAGGUGCCAGGGAGCAUAAAAUGAUUGAUACCCAGGAGGUUGAUCUGGGCUGAAACCAUUUCCAAGAAUGACUGUGCUUGAUAUUCUCUCCCUGAUAACCAGAUGUAUAGCAAGUGUAACAGGAAAUGGCAUUAAAUACUUCAGCCUUUCACAGAAUUCAGUCUUCAAAGUCAGUAUCAAUAUUUUUAUUGCUUUGUUCUUGUCAUGUUACAUCCUGUCAUAUGGUUGCUGCCCUUGAAGAAGUUUGAAAUCAAUGAAGAUGGGUUGCUCCUAAAAGUUCUGACCUAUCUAGGAAUGUCUUACUGGAUGACAUGCGGUUUGAUGCGCAACACUCUUUUACGUGAAGCAAUGAAGCUGUGGAUUUGCAACUUCCCAUGUGCAUUAGAGGAUCCCUACGCUUCUCUACAGCAACCAACAGGAAGAGGAAAGGAGAUUGGCACAUGGGGCUUGGAAGAACUGACUGUUUUGUUAGGGUGCGGCUGGAUAUCAGACCUCAGGUUGCACUCUAAGAUAAAACAGUGUUACCUGCUCACACAUUGCACUGUUGACCUCUUACCACGAGUGAGGACAACUCUGGCCAGAAAAGGAAUCAGAAGAGUCCUGGUACCAAAAAUAAUCCAUCUAGAGCUCAGCAAAUGACUCACUGCAGUGAAGAUGCUUUGGCUCUCAGCUCUGAGGAGGCCGAGCUCUGAGAAGUGUGAGUGCGUUUCUUGGAAAAGGUAGCACUGGGGAUGGAUUUGUGAAUGACAGUUUUCCUCUCGUAAAAGAGUCCAGGAUGCCCCUAUGAAAGAAGAGCUUUUAGAUGUGCAGGAAAUGCCCCGUGGCUGGUACAAUUGAUUGUGUCACUUUGAAUGAUCAGGGGAACUCAUUCAUGGCAUAGUUUUAUGUGUAUGUUCUUUUAAAAAUAAUGUUGUUUUCCAUACAUGUUCUUCGGGGUUCCCAGACAAAAUAUUCUGACUUCCUGUGAUCUUUUAGAGUAUCAGCAAAUGGUGUUAUAAACAGUACAUAGAAUGACUAGGCAAUGAAACAAUUAGUUGAUUUUAUAAUGGAGCAUGAAAUCAGAUAGAAUUUGAGAUAGAGCUGAGAGAAGCUGGUGUCUGAUCUGAUUAAGAUCUAUGUCAUUCCUGCUUUUUAGAAUCCAGCAGAUGUUUCUGAAUAGUCGAUAGUUUUAGUUUAGCUGUUGUAGAUACCAUUGACAGGUUUUACUUGGUAAUACUACAGCAGCAGCUCAGUCAUAGGAUUUUCUGUGCAGUACUAACACAGCUGAUUUAUAUCAUGGAGAUAAAAAUGGGGCUACAAAAAUCCUCCAGUAGGUGCUCUGAAUUUUUCUCACAGAAAUUAUGUCCCUUGAGUUGAAAGGCAAAAUUCAUUGCAUCUUUAUGGUAAACACAUCAGAGUACUUUGUACAAACAGCGAAAUAUAGUGGAAAAAAACAAACCAGGCACUAAAGCAUAAGAGGGCAGUAGGCAUUGGUAGGUAAGCUCACAAAUUUCAUAAGGUUUUAAAUCAUUUUGAAACACAAUAGAGACAAAGGAAUUCAAGAUGUCCAUCACUUCAUCUGCUUUUGGGAUGGGUUAUGGUUCUUCUAUUUUUGUUUGUUUGUUUAGUAUUGUAUUAGGCGAAAUACGGGGAUCUUAUCGAGAUGUGACAUGACAGGCCCUUCCUCAUAUUCUGGAAGAAUCUUACUGACGUGUAAUACAGUAGACGUAGACGAAAUGGACGUAGGUUAUAUAAGGUCGUGUAUGCUUCAAUAAAUCGCCAUUUUACCCUACCA
rnacentral:lncRNA from 1 species